AACGAACGCUGGCGGCAUGCCUAACACAUGCAAGUCGAACGAGACCUUCGGGUCUAGUGGCGCACGGGUGCGUAACGCGUGGGAAUCUGCCCUUGGGUUCGGAAUAACCAGGAGAAAUCCUGGCUAAUACCGGAUAAUGACUUCGGUCCAAAGAUUUAUCGCCCAGGGAUGAGCCCGCGUCGGAUUAGCUAGUUGGUGAGGUAAAGGCUCACCAAGGCGACGAUCCGUAGCUGGUCUGAGAGGAUGAUCAGCCACACUGGGACUGAGACACGGCCCAGACUCCUACGGGAGGCAGCAGUGGGGAAUAUUGGACAAUGGGCGAAAGCCUGAUCCAGCAAUGCCGCGUGAGUGAUGAAGGCCCUAGGGUUGUAAAGCUCUUUUACCCGGGAUGAUAAUGACAGUACCGGGAGAAUAAGCUCCGGCUAACUCCGUGCCAGCAGCCGCGGUAAUACGGAGGGAGCUAGCGUUGUUCGGAAUUACUGGGCGUAAAGCGCGCGGU
rnacentral:rRNA from 1 species